UUAUCCAUUGAAAUGAAAAAU
rnacentral:piRNA from 1 species